rnacentral:tRNA from 1 species
GACUCAGUGGUAGAGUAUUUGCCUCUCAUGCACAAGGCCCUGGGUUCAAUUUCCAG